rnacentral:rRNA from 1 species
CCUACGGGAGGCAGCAGUGGGGAAUAUCGCACAAUGGGCGAAAGCCUGAUGCAGCAACGCCGCGUGAGCGAUGAAGGCCUUCGGGUCGUAAAGCUCUGUCCUCAAGGAAGAUAAUGACGGUACUUGAGGAGGAAGCCCCGGCUAACUACGUGCCAGCAGCCGCGGUAAUACGUAGGGGGCUAGCGUUAUCCGGAAUUACUGGGCGAAAGGGGUGCGUAGGUGGUUUCUUAAGUCAGAGGUGAAGGGCUACGGUUCAACCGUAGUAAGCCUUUGAAACUGGGGAACUUGAGUGCAGGAGAGGAGAGUGGAAUUCCUAGUGUAGCGGUGAAAUGCGUAGAUAUUAGGAGGAACACCAGUUGCGAAGGCGGCUCUCUGGACUGUAACUGACACUGAGGCACGAAAGCGUGGGGAGCAAACAGGAUUAGAUACCCGGGUAGUC